rnacentral:rRNA from 1 species
UACAGAGGGUGCAAGCGUUAAUCGGAAUUACUGGGCGUAAAGCGCACGUAGGUGGUCAAUUAAGUCAGGUGUGAAAUCCCCGGGCUCAACCUGGGAAUUGCAUUUGAUACUGGUUGACUAGAGUAUGAUAGUGGGAAGUGGAAUUUCCGGUGUAGCGGUGAAAUGCGUAGAUAUCGGAAGGAACAUCAGUGGCGAAGGCGACUUCCUGGAUUAAUACUGACACUGAGGAGCGAAAGCGUGGGGAGCGAACAGG